UCCUUCUUCUGCCGCUCCUGGUGCUGCUUGUGUGCUCAUUCGGUGCGGACCUGCUGCCUCUUGUGAAGCGGCUGCUGAGGAGACUCCGGCGCUGGCCAUGGCCGAGGAAAAACCCAAGGAAGGAGUCAAGACUGAGAACAACGAUCAUAUUAAUUUGAAGGUGGCGGGGUAGGAUGGUUCUAUGGUACAGUUUAAGAUUAAGAGGCAUACACCACUUAGUAAACUAAUGAAAGCCUAUUGUGAACGACAGUUGGAGAUGGAGGAUGAAGAUACAAUUGAUGUGUUCCAGCAGCAGACAGGAGGUGUCUACUAAAAAGGGAACCUCCUUCUUUACUCCAGAACUCUGUUCUUACAGACCAAGAUUACUUUCUCAAUUAGAAAACUGCAAUUUGGUUCCACCACAUCCUGACUACUACAGUAUAGUUUUCUUUAUUCUUUCAUUUUCCCCUUCCCCAUUCCUUUAUUGUACAUAAAGUAACGGAUGUACGUGCACACGCAUAUUGCAAUUUUAUUUUUUAACUAAAUGGCCAAUGGUAUGUUUUGAUUGACAUCAAGCGGAGAUGGGAUGGGAACAAAUACUGGUUCUGUGAAAAUACCCCCUUUCUCCAUUAGUGGCAUGCUCAUUCAACUCUUAUCUUUAUAUUACAGUAAGUUAUUUUGCUCUCACUGUUUUAA